AGCAGCCGCGGUAAUUCCAGCUCCAAUAGCGUAUAUUAAAGUUGUUGCAGUUAAAAAGCUCGUAGUUGAAUUUCGGGAUCAAUAUGUCGGUCGUGCUUCGGUACGUACUGGCGUUAUUGGUUUCUCCCUUCUGAAGAACCGCGAUGUCAUUAAUUUGGUGUCGUGGGGAAUCAGGACUGUUACUUUGAAAAAAUUAGAGUGUUUAAAGCAGGCUCGCGCUUGAAUACAUUAGCAUGGAAUAAUGAAAUAGGACGUUUGAUUCUAUUUUGUUGGUUUCUAGGAUCGACGUAAUGAUUAAUAGGGAUAGUUGGGGGCAUUAGUAUUCAAUUGUCAGAGGUGAAAUUCUUGGAUUUAUUGAAGACUAACUACUGCGAAAGCAUUUGCCAAGGAUGUUUUCAUUAAUCAAGAACGAAAGUUAGGGGAUCGAAGACGAUCAGAUACCGUCGUAGUCUUAACCAUAAACUAUGCCGACUAGGGAUCGGAUGAUGUUAAUUUUUAAUGACUCAUUCGGCGCCUUACG
rnacentral:rRNA from 1 species